AAUAGACACAUUUUUAAAGGACACACAGAAGGCCGAGAGAGACGUAUGAAAACAUGCUCAAAGUCACUAAUCCUCUGAGAGAUGCAAAUCAAAAUGACAAUGAGGUACCAUCUCACACCUGUCAGAAUGGAUAUAAUCAACAAAUCAACAAAUGACAAGUGCUGGAGAGGAUGCGGAGA